rnacentral:rRNA from 1 species
AUUGAACGCUGGCGGCAGGCCUAACACAUGCAAGUCGAACGAGUGGCGGACGGGUGAGUAAUGGCUGGGAAACUGCCUGAUGGGGGGGGAUAACUACUGGAGACGGUAGCUAAUACCGCAUACAAUUAGCUGUGACCCGAGUGGAUUAGCUAGUGGGUGGGGUAACGGCUCACCAAGGCGACCAUCCCUAGCUGGUCUGAGAGGCUGACCAGCCAGACUGGAAAUGAGACACGGUCCAGACUCCUACGGGAGGCAGCAGUGGGGAAUAUUGCACAAGGGGCGCAAGCCUGAUGCAGCCAUGCCGCGUGUAUGAAGAAGGCCUUCGGGUUGUAAAGUACUUUCAGCGGGGAGGCGUUACCCGCAGAAUAAGCACCGGCUAACUCCGUGCCAGCAGCCGCGGUAAUAC